UCGGCUAGACUUUAUAAACUUAUACUCUAAUUAAUGUUAAUUUAGAGUUAUUUCGGUAUUGAUUUUUAAUUUUAGGGUGAAAUCAGAAAUUAUUUUUAUUUAAACUCUAAAUUUUAAGAUUUAGUAAACAAACCAGAUUAGUACCUGGUUAGAUAAAAUUUAAAAGAGCAGGAGUAAAGUUAUAUUUAAACUGUAAGAAUAUUGGCAGGUUUUUAAAUUAUCUUUGGAGGCUGAGUAGUGAUUGAGAGCCCUCAUUUUCAACUUUUUCUUUAGGCGCAUGUAUGAUCGUUUAUUUUAUUCUUAAGGAUUGUAAUUUUAGUCUUUGCUAUAAAAAUAGAUAGAUAUCUGGCUUAUGAGAAAGAUUUAAUUUGGCCUACAAUAAUUUAAUUUUUGGAUUCUAGUUUUAGAGGCUAGAUGAAAUUGUAAAAGACAGUAAGUUGCUUUUAAUGGGUAGCUGAAGUUUAUUUAAAAACGGUACAAAUCAUCCAUCAAUUGCCUAUAGGGGAGUAAGUUG
rnacentral:ncRNA from 1 species